rnacentral:antisense_RNA from 1 species
AGUCCUGUCCUGACCUCCAGACCUUGCAUGUGGAUUGGUUUUGCUGCUGUAAGGAAAGGGCUCAAGGACAGCAGCUCAGCAUCCUGUGGCUGCACACGCAGAGUGAGAGGGACAUGGUGGCAGGGCGUAUCGAGGGUCUGCGUGGCCAGGAACGAGGAGUGUCAUGACCGAGAAUGAAUACUCUGGAUGUGGUGGCUGGCUCCUUGUGAAGAAGAAUUCAAUCAGAUUCCAUUUGAUUAAUCUGCAUUGAGAUCCUAGUAUGUGUCCGACACUAUGCAGAAAUACUUCACUCCCUCUUCCAUGGCAGACCAUGAUGAACUAGGGUUUGCUGUUUUCACGGCUUCUGUCACUGUUGGAGCUGAGGCUGAGGCUGCAGCAGGAGCUCCUCUGGCCCCGAGGCAAGAGACAUGUUCUCUGCAUCCCCAGGGGACCCAAAGCAACUUCUGGUUUGGGUUAAAGAGGACUUGGGUGACCCCACCCUGCCAGUCAUCCACCCUCUGGCAGCCAGGGCGGCAGCAGGGGAGGGGGCAAAAGGCUGCCACAGUGCUUCUCUCCCCUGCCAUUUCCUCUGCAGCUCCCUCUCUGGCCCUGUUUUUCAGACCUCUAGUAAUAAAAACAAGCCAAUAAAAUGAACAUGAAAAUAUA